rnacentral:rRNA from 1 species
GACGAACGCUGGCGGCGUGCUUAACACAUGCAAGUCGAACGGAAAGGCCCUGCUUUUGUGGGGUGCUCGAGUGGCGAACGGGUGAGUAACACGUGAGUAACCUGCCCUUGACUUUGGGAUGACUUCAGGCAACUGGGGCUAAUACCGGAUAGGAGCUCCUGCUGCAUGGUGGGGGUUGGACAGUUUCGGCGGUUGGGGAUGGACUCGCGGCUUAUCAGCUUGUUGGUUGGGGAGUGGCUUACCAAGGCUUUGACGGGUAGCCGGCCUGAGAGGGUGACCGGCCACAUUGGGACUGCGGUAGGGCCCAGACGCCUACGGUGGGCAGCAGUGGGGAAUAUUGCACAAUGGGCGGAAGCCUGAUGCAGCAACGCCGCGUGCGGGAUGACGGCCUUCGGGUUGGAAACCGCUUUCGCCUGUGACGAAGCUUGAGUGACGGUAAUGGGUAAAGAAGCACCGGCUAACUACGUG